GUAGGGCGCGAGCGUUGUCCGGAAUUAUUGGGCGUAAAGAGCUCGUAGGCGGCUGGUCGCGUCUGUCGUGAAAUCCUCUGGCUUAACUGGGGGCUUGCGGUGGGUACGGGCCGGCUUGAGUGCGGUAGGGGAGACUGGAACUCCUGGUGUAGCGGUGGAAUGCGCAGAUAUCAGGAAGAACACCGGUGGCGAAGGCGGGUCUCUGGGCCGUUACUGACGCUGAGGAGCGAAAGCGUGGGGAGCGAACAGGAUUAGAUACCCUGGUAGUCCACGCCGUAAACGUUGGGCACUAGGUGUGGGGGGCCUUUUCCGGGUCUUCCGCGCCGUAGCUAACGCAUUAAGUGCCCCGCCUGGGGAGUACGGCCGCAAGGCUAAA
rnacentral:rRNA from 1 species